rnacentral:rRNA from 1 species
AUUGAACGCUGGCGGCAUGCCUUACACAUGCAAGUCGAACGGCAGCACGGGUGCUUGCACCUGGUGGCGAGUGGCGAACGGGUGAGUAAUACAUCGGAACGUACCUUAUCGUGGGGGAUAACGCAGCGAAAGCUGUGCUAAUACCGCAUACGCCCUGAGGGGGAAAGCGGGGGAUCGCAAGACCUCGCGCGAUUAGAGCGGCCGAUGCCUGAUUAGCUUGUUGGUGGGGUAAAAGCCCACCAAGGCGACGAUCAGUAGCUGGUCAGAGAGGACGAUCAGCAACACGGGGACUAGGACACGGCCCAGAAUCCUACGGGAGGCAGCGGUGGGGAAUUUUGGACAGUGGGGGCAAUCCUGAUCCAGCAAUGCCGCGUGAGUGAAGAAGGCCUUCGGGUUGUAAAGCUCUUUUGUCAGGGAAGAAACACCGGCUCUAACACAGUCCGGGAAUGACGGUACCUGAAGAAUAAGCACCGGCUAACUACGUGCCAGCAGCCGCCGUAA